UACGUAGGGCGCAAGCGUUGUCCGGAAUUAUUGGGCGUAAAGAGCUCGUAGGCGGCUUGUCACGUCGGGUGUGAAAGCCCGGGGCUUAACCCCGGGUCUGCAUUCGAUACGGGCCAGCUAGAGUGUGGUAGGGGAGGAUCGGAAUUCCUGGUGUAGCGGUGAAAUGCGCAGAUAUCAGGAGGAACACCGGUGGCGAAGGCGGAUCUCUGGGCCAUUACUGACGCUGAGGAGCGAAAGCGUGGGGAGCGAACAGG
rnacentral:rRNA from 1 species